UACGGAGGGGGGCUAGCGUUGUUCGGAAUUACUGGGCGUAAAGCGCACGUAGGCGGCUUUGUAAGUUAGAGGUGAAAGCCCAGGGCUUAACCCUGGAAUUGCCUUUAAGACUGCAUCGCUAGAAUCGUGGAGAGGUGAGUGGAAUUCCGAGUGUAGAGGUGAAAUUCGUAGAUAUUCGGAAGAACACCAGUGGCGAAGGCGACUCACUGGACACGUAUUGACGCUGAGGCGCGAAAGCGUGGGGAGCAAACAGGG
rnacentral:rRNA from 1 species